rnacentral:rRNA from 1 species
GUUAAGCGACUAAGCGUACACGGUGGAUGCCCUGGCAGUCAGAGGCGAUGAAGGACGUGCUAAUCUGCGAUAAGCGUCGGUAAGGUGAUAUGAACCGUUAUAACCGGCGAUUUCCGAAUGGGGAAACCCAGUGUGAUUCGUCACACUAUCAUUAACUGAAUCCAUAGGUUAAUGAGGCGAACCGGGGGAACUGAAACAUCUAAGUACCCCGAGGAAAAGAAAUCAACCGAGAU